rnacentral:rRNA from 1 species
UACGUAGGGGGCAAGCGUUGUCCGGAUUUAUUGGGCGUAAAGAGUGUGUAGGCGGCCAGAUAGGUCAGCUGUGAAAACUCGAGGCUCAACCUCGAGAUGUCGGCUGAAACCAUCUGGCUAGAGUCCGGAAGAGGAGAAUGGAAUUCCCGGUGUAGCGGUGAAAUGCGCAGAUAUCGGGAAGAACACCCGUGGCGAAGGCGGUUCUCUGGGACGGUACUGACGCUGAGACGCGAAAGCGUGGGGAGCGAACAGG